rnacentral:lncRNA from 1 species
AACUGAAUAGCUUUUAGAAAUAGUGGCCAAGAAAUGGGUUGUCCACCUGCUUUCUCCAACAAUUGGUCAACAAUUUCAGGACUGGCUUCGCUAAAUUGCAGCUGUUCAUCGGAUUUUUUCAUUAGUCCUUGUCUAUUUCUUUUUAUUCCCCGGCCAUUCUUUUCCUCUUGCUUUGUCUCUUUUUUUCUGUUUGCCGUUCUUUACUUUCCCCCUCCUGUUGUUUCCAGAUUACUCGGUCAAUCAUUUCAUGAUUUUCUUCCCUAAAUUAUGGCUAUCCAUCCAAUUUUUUUACUUCUUUGCUCUCUAUCAUAUCCCAACCAUGGGAUUGUGGUUUGUCCUUUUGUAUUCAUUUUCAUUUUCCGGUUGAGAAAUUAUCGAGACUGAAAAGAAAAAUCUCUAACAAUUUAUCAGUUUGCAUCUUUAUCCGCUCUGUUCAUGAUGGCUAAUACCAUUGCUAGGGAUAUAGGUUUGUCCUUUUCUUUUCCUUAUUUU